ACUUGUGCUACUCUUAUAACAAAUAAAGCACAUUAUGUUCUUCUUAGUAUUACAAAACCACUGUCGAUUAACUGGGUCAGGUAUUUUAAGAUUAGUUACCAUGAAGGAGAUGAAAGAAAAAUAUUUUGUGGAUCUAUUGAAUACUUUGUUCGUGACUAUCACCAGGCGCGAAGGUGACUGUGAUUGGCUUUUGCACAUUUGUUUUAUUUCGACUUCUCAAUCGAGUGCUUGUAGUCCUCCCUAAUGUCCGAAUUAGAGCCAUCGCGAAAUAAUGGUACUACGCCUCUAUAGAACUUUAAUCACAAAACAGCAUUGUACUCUUGAUAAUUCCAUAGUUACCAAAACAUUUGCACAUGACACAGGCAUGAUUUGUCUUUUUACGGGGCCCGAAUCCAUGGCCCCUUAUUUUGUAGCUAGCUCAUGACCUGCUGCGCCUAGCCGUAUUCGAUAAACUAUCCUUGAUGUCAGCAAUGCAAUUUAUUAUUUCUUGCAAUUAGGUGUUCAGUUGUGACGGCUAAGGGAUAGGGAUCAAAAUAAAAGAAAAGUUUCAGUAUUCGCUCUUUCGCCUAUUUAUUAAAUUCUAAACAAUAACGUUUAACUAUGUAUAAUGUUUGCAUUAAGCUGCUAAGUAGUUAUCAGUCUUUAAGUGUCCAUCUAUUAAGAGGGUACUACAUUGUGGCUAAUCUUACAGACGCCAUUUUUUCCAACACAUUGCAUACAAUAU